CAUGAACAUUUUAAACAGGAGUUAUAUGUAAUGCAAAGUUGUCUCUUAUCAUUAAAGUUUAAAACAAGUACAUUUUGCUCUUAUCUUUUACAAGAUCUUUCAGAGUAAUAGUUUGUUACAGGUACACAACAACUACAGUUAUAUCCAAAUCUUAUUCAAGAUGUUUAAGAACUUGCUUUACAGGUUUUUCUUUUAUCUCAUAGGUUAUUAUUAAACCCUCCAUCUCUGCACACUGCCUCAGAUUAAAUGUCCCCUCUGAAGGGCAGGACAACAUGGAUUCAUGUGUCUGCUUGCUCCAUUUCUGUGGGUUUGCAGAUAUCUGUAUUUUGUGUCACUUUAAUUUGUGUGGUAAACAAAAGACACCAGAGGAAAGUUUAAAAUAGGAGUCUGUAGCUGGGACAUUCUGUGCCUUAACCACCAGGCUGCUGGUUCUCUGAGGGUGAUCUACUAUAUGGAAAGACACUAAAUGCCUUCAUACAGCAUUAUGUUAACAAAGCCUGAUUUGAGCGAAACCUUUAACGUUAUGGAUCCAUGAAGAAUUUUCUUGUUAAGCAGUUUACAAAUAUAUUUGGUUUUCAUGGCUCUGGUGAAGUUGUGUGAAAGUUGAGUCAUGUCAGCUCUUUCAGUCUGGAGCAGAAACAAACUUCUACAGUUUGUGUGCUUCUUGGGGGAGGGUUCAUCACACCUACUCACUUUUGUGUGUUUUGUUCACGUAACAAGCCAAUUCUUUUGCAAGUGUGACGUGAAGCCAAACUGGAGGAUAAUAUGGAAUUUCCCUCAGACUGAGGAAGCUUUUUGGUCUUUGUCAGUUGUCAUUUAUUCCUGGCUGGUUGAAAAAAAGUUGCCGGCCAAUAACCUGAGUAUUUUAUAUAUACUCCUCUUGUUAAAGCAAAGCUGUUCAUCACAAUAUGGCACUCGGGGUAAGAUAUGCUGCUUGUCUGGACAGAUCAAAAAAAAAAAAAAAAAAAGAAAGAGAAACAGCAGAAUAAACUACACCUGCCGUCCAUGGAGACAUGCUCUGGCACAGACAACAGGAGGCCAAAUAGAGCUGCAUCCGAGGAUCCAGGCAAUGUCUGACAUGGCUGUGAUCAGGAGGAGCAUUGGAAGAACUGUCCCUUGCUAUGUCAGGCUCCACACGCUUGGGAGCUCACAUUAGACUGAUGGUUGGGGAAGGAGGAAGGUGGUUCCUUUACACGUGACAUACUGUAGAUGACAGCACACGUUUUCACGCAUGCAAAAGAGGAACACGCUUACGGCCUUUACACACGCAAUUGAUCCAAGUUCAUGGCUAUCUGCUUGCAAUGAAAAAUCGCUUAUUGCUCAAAACAUCCCACAGAGUGAAUUUAAAAG
rnacentral:lncRNA from 1 species